rnacentral:rRNA from 1 species
UACGGAGGGUGCAAGCGUUAUCCGGAUUUACUGGGUUUAAAGGGUGCGUAGGCGGCCUAUUAAGUCAGUGGUGAAAUAUCUCAGCUUAACUGAGAAGGUGCCAAUGAUACUGAUGGGCUUGAGUACAGAUGAGGUAGGCGGAAUUGACGGUGUAGCGGUGAAAUGCUUAGAUAUCGUCAAGAACACCUAUAGCGAAGGCAGCUUACUAGGCUGUAACUGACGCUGAGGCACGAAAGUGUGGGGAUCAAACAGG